rnacentral:rRNA from 1 species
AGACCUCAAUUUGAGCAAGAUUACCCGCUGAACUUAAGCAUAUCAUUUAGCGGAGGA